rnacentral:rRNA from 1 species
UACGUAGGGGGCAAGCGUUGUCCGGAUUUAUUGGGCGUAAAGAGCGUGUAGGCGGCCAUACAGGUCAGCUGUGAAAACUCGAGGCUCAACCUCGAGACGUCGGUUGAAACCGUAUGGCUAGAGUCCGGAAGAGGAGAGUGGAAUUCCCGGUGUAGCGGUGAAAUGCGCAGAUAUCGGGAAGAACACCCGUGGCGAAGGCGGCUCUCUGGGACGGUACUGACGCUGAGACGCGAAAGCGUGGGGGAGCAAACAGGG